GACAGAGGGUGCAAACGUUGCUCGGAAUUACUGGGCGUAAAGCGCGUGUAGGCGGUCACGCAAGUCAGGUGUGAAAGCCCAGGGCUCAACCCUGGAAGUGCACAUGAUACUACGUGGCUGGAGUACUGAAGAGGAGAGCGGAAUUCCCGGUGUAGAGGUGAAAUUCGUAGAUAUCGGGAGGAACACCAGUGGCGAAGGCGGCUCUCUGGGCAGAUACUGACGCUGAGACGCGAAAGCGUGGGGAGCGAUCCGG
rnacentral:rRNA from 1 species